rnacentral:lncRNA from 1 species
UAUUUAAGAGGUAUUCAAAGCUUUCUAUUUAACUGUAUACAUCCCUGCUACAUGAGCCAGACUACCAUGAUCUGAUAGACUUUUGCCGAGAAUAACAACCAUUCUUAUAGGAAGUUCUAUCACAGAUCUGGGUGCAGUGGUCUUGGGUGGGUAGGCAGGGUAGGAUAAUAAAUAGAAAUAAGUUUCAUGAGGAAGGAAAUAAACUUCAAAAGAAAGGGUUAGUCUUCUUUUUCUAAUUAAAAUUUCUGAUCCUUCAUAAGAAAAGGCAGGAGAUUCUCCAGUCUUAGAAACAGUUUGGGGAGAAUUAAAAAUAUAAACUUAGUGAAGAUGCCUAUAGGCAGAGGAGAGGGUAUUUUGGUGCCUGGCAGUGUGGUUGUGACAUAUGAAUAUAGCAAAGUAUGUUGCCGGACACCUUAUCAGCUUUGAUGAAUCUUGGCCUUUUGAAUAAAUAUUGUGUUUUUUUUUAAUGUUUACAAAUUGAAUUAUGGUGAUAGGAUAUAUUUGGUGUACUUAGAUAAAGUCAGUUAAUUCCAUUUAGCAAGCCCUAGACAAUAUUGCUUUACUAAUCUAAUAACUAUCUCUAAUACUGUGUAAGUUGUACUUUGGGGGGCUGUUUUAUUUGCUC